rnacentral:rRNA from 1 species
GCAGCAGUGGGGAAUAUUGCACAAUGGGCGAAAGCCUGAUGCAGCAACGCCGCGUGAGUGAUGAAGGCCUUCGGGUCGUAAAACUCUGUCCUCAAGGAAGAUAAUGACGGUACUUGAGGAGGAAGCCCCGGCUAACUACGUGCCAGCAGCCGCGGUAAUACGUAGGGGGCUAGCGUUAUCCGGAUUUACUGGGCGUAAAGGGUGCGUAGGCGGUCUUUCAAGUCAGGAGUGAAAGGCUACGGCUCAACCGUAGUAAGCUCUUGAAACUGGGAGACUUGAGUGCAGGAGAGGAGAGUGGAAUUCCUAGUGUAGCGGUGAAAUGCGUAGAUAUUAGGAGGAACACCAGUUGCGAAGGCGGCUCUCUGGACUGUAACUGACGCUGAGGCACGAAAGCGUGGGGAGCAAACAGGAUUAGAUACCCUGGUAGUCCACGCUGUAAACGAUGAGUACUAGGUGUCGGGGGUUACCCCCUUCG